AAGCAGCGUUAAGUUUGCACUUACUCACCGGGUUAUUACGCGGAGAAAGUCCUCGGUAAUUUUCGGGCUCUUGUUUUUAAAUCUCUUCCCCCCUCACGGCCACUGAGAAUGGGCUCAACGUCAGUGGGGACCCUCGCUCGGUGGCUGCUGACAAAAUGUGUCGCGGAUUUGUUUUGGACGCGGAGAAGACGCCAUGAGGAGGAGAGCCGGGAGCUGGAGCCGGAGCCGGACUGUCGCUCAGCUCAGCAGCCAUCUGGUACUCUGGGUCUGCAGGGGCGACCCGCUCCCGGUGCGGUACCGACCCGGUCUGGAGCUCUGUGUGCACAUUAUUUACAGUAUGGGAGGAUUUUAAAAGACAGUGCACAAAUGGUUUCACAUAUUAAAAUGGAAACUGGG